CAUAACUGAAGCAUUUCCAUAGAGAGCCACUUUGCAUCAGCAGCACCAUGCUCCAGUGCUCUGGGAGAGUUUAUAGUCCUGAGAGUUGAACACUGGAUGACUGACAGCUGUCCUUCAUGACAACAGAAGACACAGAAAUCCUCCUCAUCAAAAACAUGACUUUGAUCUGCGUCCUCGUCUGGACUCUCCUCUGCUGCUGCUUCACAGAGUCCAGAGGUCAGAUCACAGUGACUCAGCCUGGAGCAGUGAGCUCUGCUCUGGGAGGCUCCGUCACCAUCAGCUGCAGGACCAGUCAGGAUGUUUUUAAUAAUGAUUAUUUAGCCUGGUACCAACAGAGAGAUGGAGAAAGUCCUAAACUUCUCAUUUACUAUGCUAGCACUCGAGAAUCAGGGAUUCCAGAUCGUUUUACAGGCAGUGGAUCAAACUCUGCCUUCACUCUGACCAUCAGUGGAGUUCAGGCUGAAGAUGCAGCAGUUUACUACUGUCAGAGUCUUCAUUAUCCCAACAGUCAGUGGGUGUUCACACAGUGAAAAACCGUCGUACAAAAACCUCCCUCAGUCAGACUGAACAGAAACUGAACUGACUGCUGCAGCUGGAAGCUACUGCAGAGACUGAUACACUUCACUGAGGACACACACACACACACACACACACACACACACACACACACACACACACACACACACCAGUUGUUCCCUGAAAGACCCAUAAUUUGCAGUAUCUUUCUUGAAUUGAAAAUUUAAACCAUCAGACAUUUAGGCUGUAUGCAGAUGACAUUCUGCUAUAUGUUACGCGACCCUCCUCCUCCCUUUUUCAGUUUUCGCUUAGAUGGUUAUUGACAUUUUCUUGGAACCAUCACUUCCUUUUUAAAUGACCAAGAAAUUAAGAAAUAUGAGAUGUUUUCUAAAGCAAAUCUGGGGGGCAACUCACGAAGGACCAGGUGUUAUAGUGUACUUUGGCUGACCUCCUAUGGGGGAGAAUUCAAUAUCAAAUAUGCAAAUGGAUAAAAACUGCCUCAUUUAUAUUUAUCAUAUUCACCAAUAACAAAAGAAAGUCUUAGACGCACAGGUUUGUUGAUAAAAUGUAAGUUUAUUUUAAAAUUAGCAACAGGAAAGAAAUGACUGAUAGAUGUUUGAUAUUGUGGAAAAGUCAAACUAAGACAAAUGUCUUUGCACAUACGUCUCUGUGUCUCCACCUGACCUACAUCAUGUCAUUCUACCUUUCUCUUUCUUCCAGUUUGGGUACUCACUCUCUGAAAUAUCCACCUCCAGCAGCACCUCAUCAGAGUUUUUUUCUCCCACAUGGUUCCUUGCCUGAAAAAUGUAAAGUGUAAAGUGUUGGACUGCUUCAGAGAGGGUAAAGACAGAACCUGCCCUGAGGCCACCUUGAGUAGGGAGAUGGAGGCAGUCCUCCUGUACCAGGUGUAUCUGCCUGCAGCUGGGUUGGCA